GAAAGAAAAAAAAAAAAAAAGGAAUAAAACUUCAGAGUGUUUGUCUUUUUGUUGCUUCAAUUUCUCAUAGACUGGAGAAUUUGAUCGGAUAACCCGGUUUUUAGAAGUAUGAAGGAUUCUAGCUUCUCUCUUUUAGCAGUUAGUUGGUAUGUAAUAAAUGCUAUUUGUUUGCACUGGUUCACUGUUUUUGCUUCAUUGAUGGUGUUUUGGUGAGAACAGUCUAAAGAAUAUAUAUUAGAUGGUAGGCUUUUCGCUUUAUCUUGUUUUAGUGUUUGAUGGUAACAAGCCAUUGAUCAUUCAAAAUUUCUGAACUUAGGCCCAUAUGAAGGAGGCAAGCCUGAUGCCACAUUUUCCCUCAAGGAUGAAGAUUUUGUCAAGCUUGCUGAGGGAAAAUUGAAUCCCCAGAUUGCUUUCAUGAGGUGCAAUAUAUGGCUGUGUUCAACCAUUCAUGUUCCAUUUGUUGCUUAUUUCCAUUUGUAUGCUAAUGCCGAUUGCUAAUGUUUGAUGAAUAUAGGGGCACUUUGAAGAUUAAGGGCAGCCUGAGUGCAGCGCAAAAAUUCACUCCUGACAUCUUCCCAAAGCCGUCAAAGCUUUGAGCUAUUUUAGACCCCUCCAUUUUAUUGGAAUUGCAAUUUGAAUUUGAAAAUUCUACUAUUUGUGUUGGGAUAGUAAAAAUCAUUGCUAUCUUUUGAUCAAUCUCUGUUGUUUAUUAGUGCUUCAACUUUUAUGCAUAAUGUGGAACUGGUUAGGAGGCUAUUCUAUAGCUGAGAACAAUCUUGAGUUAUAAAAAUGCAUUAUUCUCUUUAUUAAUUGGUAUGUGUUAAACGGUAAACUUAUAGUAUAAUUGAUAUGUUUGCCUCCCAAUUCCCAUAUGUGUAGACAUCCAUCUCUGGAUUGUCAUGAUAGCUAGUCAGUCAGAUUUUCCCACAAAUCUUUUGUGUGGUGGUUUUUCUGUUUGUAGUAUUUGUUAUUCAGCAGGGGUUUACAUUUGGUUUCCUAUGUCAAGCCUAAGCAAAUUCCAGAUUUGUGCAUGAAGUGCAGAGUAAAGCUUGAUGUAU
rnacentral:misc_RNA from 1 species